AAGUGUUUAUUUUGUUCGUCAUCUGAUUUUAUGCUUGAGAAAUAGGCUCUUUGCGGAAACCUUGACCCACUGGAGUUGCCCAAGAUUCUGGAACGAUAACCUGCACCACUAUGCAAUUACAUGUGGAACAAGAACUGACUCCUGUGCUUCAGAGUCAAAUUAAGUGAAUUUCCUGCGACAGAGCAAAUCCAACUGAGAUUCCUCUUUUAAAUAUUUUGUUUUUGAGUCCUGUCCACCAUUUUUGUCUCCAUAUUUUCUGUUGUUCGUGACAAGUCCUAUCGUUUGAUUUUUAAUUUAAAAAGUGGCGCACCCUAGCGGCAGGCCAUCGAACUACGACACAGGUGCGCGCUCUAGCGGUCACCUUCGGAACUACAUGGCCGCAGGGCGCUGCGACGGGUGGUGGGGGACCUCCGAAAGACCUCUCACAGACCUACCGUUUCCGACGUCCCGAAGUGCUCCCGAAAGAGACGUCCUGAAAUGUAGCACGGCAGUACUUCUUUCGGAUGCCUUUUUUGUUUCAUAAGGUACUCCUUCCGCACUACAUUUUGGGAUGUACAGAGCUCCGAAAUGGUAGUACGACAGUACUACUUUUGAUAGUAGUUUUGUUUACGGGGUUUCCUCCAUUUUUUGGUCAAAGGUAGU